UACGUAGGGUGCAAGCGUUGUCCGGAAUCACUGGGCGUAAAGGGCGCGUAGGCGGCUUUAUAAGUCGAGGGUGAAAGCCUGUGGCUCAACCACAGAAUUGCCUUCGAUACUGUAGAGCUUGAGACCGGAAGAGGUAAGUGGAACUGCGAGUGUAGAGGUGAAAUUCGUAGAUAUUCGCAAGAACACCAGUGGCGAAGGCGGCUUACUGGUCCGGUUCUGACGCUGAGGCGCGAAAGCGUGGGGAGCAAACAGG
rnacentral:rRNA from 1 species